rnacentral:rRNA from 1 species
UAGUCCACGCCGUAGACGAUGUCAACUAGCCGUCGGGCUCAUUAUAAGGGUUUGGUGGCGCAGCUAACGCGAUAAGUUGACCGCCUGGGGAGUACGCCGGCAACGGUAAAACUCAAAGGAAUUGACGGGGGCCCGCACAAGCGGUGGAGCAUGUGGUUUAAUUCGAUGCAACGCGAAGAACCUUACCAGGGCUUAAAUGCAGAGCGACCGUUCUGGAAACAGAACUUUCUUCGGACGGUUUGCAAGGUGCUGCAUGGUUGUCGUCAGCUCGUGCCGUGAGGUGUCGGGUUAAGCCCCAUAACGAGCGCAACCCCUAUUUUCAGUUGCCAGCAUGUAAUGAUGGGGACUCUGGAAAGACUGCCUACGCAAGUAGAGAGGAAGGCGGGGACGACGUCAAAUCAUCAUGGCCUUUAUGCCUAGGGCUACACACGUGCUACAAUGGCAGGUACAAAGGGUAGCGAAGCCGCGAGGUGGAGCCAAUCUCAUAAAGCCUGUCCCAGUUCGGAUCGG